UGAGUACGAGAUGCUACGGCAUCGAAGCAGUCUAUGUCAUACUUCCAAGAAAAGCUUGCACUGUCAGAAACAGAUAAUGCCUGUACCAUAACCGACACAGGUGGGUAGGUAGAGUAUACUAAGGGGCGCGAGAUAACUCUCUCUAAGGAACUCGGCAAAAUGACUCCGUAACUUCGGGAGAAGGAGUGCCUUAUUUUUAAGGUUGCAAUAACAAGAUCCAAGCAACUGUUUACAAAAAACACAGGUCUCCGCUAAGUCGUAAGACGAUGUAUGGGGGCUGACGCCUGCCCAGUGCCAGAAGGUUAAAGAAGUCGGUUAGCAUUCGCGAAGCUGGUAACUGAAGCCCUGGUGAACGGCGGCCGUAACUAUAACGGUCCUAAGGUAGCGAAAUUCCUUGUCGGGUAAGUUCCGACCCGCACGAAAGGCGUAAUGAUUUGGAUACUGUCUCGGAGAGGGGCUCGGUGAAAUAGACUUGUCUGUGAAGAUGCGGACUACCUGCACCUGGACAGAAAGACCCUAUGAAGCUUUACUGUAACUUGAAAUUGAAAUUGGACUUUAUUUGCGCAGUAUAGGUGGGAGGCGUUGAAAAUAUUCUUGCGGGAAUAUUGGAGCCAUCAGUGAGAUACCACUCUUGUAAUGUUAGAUUUCUAACUUUAUAUCAUUAUCUGGUUAAAGAACAGUUUCAGGCGGGCAGUUUGACUGGGGCGGUCGCCUCCCAAAUGGUAACGGAGGCGCACAAAGGUUUCCUCUGAACGGGUAGAAAUCGUAUCUAGAGUGUAAAGGCAUAAGGAAGCUUGACUGUGAGACCUACAAGUCGAGCAGGGACGAAAGUCGGUCUUAGUGAUCUGACGGUGCUGAGUGGAAAGGCCGUCACUCAACGGAUAAAAGUUACUCUAGGAUAACAGGCUGAUCUCCCCCAAGAGUUCACAUCGACGGGGAGGUUUGGCACCUCGAUGUCGGCUCAUCGCAUCCUGGGGCGGUAGUACGUCCCAAGGGUUGGGCUGUUCGCCCAUGAAAGCGGUACGCGAGCUGGGUUCAGAACGUCGUGAGACAGUUCGGUCCAUAUCCGGUGUAGGCGUUAGAAUAUUGAGAGGAGCCUUCUUUAGUACGAGAGGACCGAGAAGGACAUACCUCUGGUGUACCAGUUAUCGUGCCAACGGUAAACGCUGGGUAGCUAUGUAUGGAGUGGAUAACCGCUGAAAGCAUCUAAGUGGGAAGCCCACCUCAAGAUAAGUAUUCUC
rnacentral:rRNA from 1 species